AGGAAAUCAGUGCCUUAAAAUCCUUAAAAUCGGAGGGUUUUGGGAAAGCUGCAAUAGACUAGACUCAGAAACAGUAGAACCCUGAGUAGAGCUAUGCAGCAGCCAUAGGAUUGGUCAGCAGAAAAAUUAUAUAAGAAGUAGAAAGUAAGGAGAAAUAGAACAAUUGUCUGUGCAUUAAGGCUUAUCUAGAAUAUCUCCCUAACCUGCAGAAUGUAUAUCUAGCAAGAUAUUAGGAAGUUCCAAGCUAAUAAUGGAGGUCUAUGUAUUGUGUGUUUUAAGGCUUACAAGCAGGUAUUGUAUUUGAAAGAAGCAAGCCCAGACCAAGUAGGGUGUCGUGGUUUAAGAGGAAGUGAAGUUUUUGUGAUGGUGUGGGCAAGCCAAUCGGUGUUCAGAUUUAAUAUUGGCACCUGGUUUGUCCACUGAGGGCAUGGAUCCGCCUCUGAGAACACAGGGGUUAAAAGCUGUGAUCUCCCGGGGGAACUUCCUCUUUGAGUCCCGCUGGAGAGUUAGCAGACCCCCCCCCUGCCCAGAUCUGGCUGGGCAGGGGGGGAGGGGAGCCAUGUGGCCGGAGAGAGAGAGGGGGAGGCGAUGGCUCAGAGCCAGGAGAGUGCAGUGAUGUGGAGGAGUGAACAGAGACGACGGGUGAGGAGGGUGGUGGUGGUGCCCUCCGCUUCGAAGAAGAGAAGAAGAAGAAGACGAUCUCUGUUCCAGAGACCCCUCGGCCCCAGGGGGUGAAAUUUGGGGGGGACAGGUGUCCCAAAAGGAGAAGGACUGUGCUCCCUUUGGAACUGGUCAAAGUAUCCUUAAAAUGAAAACCCUAGAAGCAGCUCUGAUCCAUGUGCAGUGGUGAGAGCACUGGACAUGGAAGUCAUGUGGCGCAAGAGGGACUCCUCUCUUCUCGAGAGACUGAGAAUCGAUUAUCUGAAGGGUGGCAGUGGAGUUGGAAAUUUGGUGGGGGGAGGAGGAAGAAUUUGGAAGGUUUUCAUCUUGUGUUCUAUGUGUUUUGUGUGUCUUUCUUUGUAGUUGUAGGUUAAUAAAUGUUUUCUUUUCCUUUUAACUCUAA